CUCUAUAUGAGGUCUAAUUGGUUGCUAUGGGUGACGACUCCUAUAUAUAAGGUCUGAUAACUCUCCCUAUGUCUGAAAAUAUCAGUAAAGUGUGAAUGGUGGCGUAAGAGUAGACCCCAGGGGCCACAAAUCAACCUAAGAACAGCCUGGACAACCAGCUCCCUGUUUUUUAGCCAUUUGCUGCUCCAGCACUGUGUGUGAACAGAGACUGAGACUUCUGCACAGUCACCGGAGAGAACCGUGAGAACUGCGAACAUUGCACCGUCUAUCCGGACCCCUGCGCCAUAUUCUUCCUAUCAGGUGACAUGUACAUAUGGGGGAGACAUUUUCCUGUGCACAGCACACUUCCUGUCUGCCUGACAUGGCUGAUAACCGAGAACAAUAGUGAUGAUCAGACCAACAUGGCGCCAUGUGACGAUGGAAAUUGCUGCAGUUUUUGGUAAUGAUGCGUUAUCAGGUCUCAGGGUCUACACAGGGUUUUCCGUAUCUGCGCCAUCAAUCUGAAUGGGCCCCCAAUGCUUAGAGCCAAAGAUGGCGGAUUCCUUCCAUGUGGGGAGAAGAUAUGUGGCCUCCAUGGGCUGCAGAGUUUACGUGUUUGAUGAAGUCCGGCGCUUUCCUGACAUCUGUUCACACAUGGCGGAUACACUGCAGAGGAUGAGAAUGCGCUGACAUAGUGAGGAGACGUCUGGGCGUCACAUUCUGCAGAGAGAAGUUUUAGCUGGACCAGGCGUAACAGGAGGGGAUUAUUGUCACUCAUGUCUAUACGAAAAUGUCCUUUUAUCUAUAAUAAAUAUCAUUAAAUGAAGUUAUUGUUUGAUGUUAUCUGUCGGAAGUCAUGUGUGAUGUACAUGGAAUACAUACAUAAUACAUUCAGUAUAUCACUUUUUUAUAUCCUAUUUUGUAUAUCUUACUCUAUUGAUUAUUGUUUUUUUCAUUAUUAUGAUUAUUUUAUUUAUUAUAUUUUAUUCAUUAUUUAUUUUUUAUCACCCAUUUUGCAUGUAUUUAUUUUAUUUAUCUUUAUUUAAUUUUUAUGAUAUUUUCUAUAGAUUUUUUUGUUUUUUAUUAAAUUUUUUGUGGUAUAGAUUACUUUUGGUUUUUGCUGUUGCUAACAGCUACGGAAUGAGUCUUAUCUGGACGCAGCUCCAGUUGUCCAACUACAGUCCCCUCUUUAGCCCAGUAUUAGGGCAUCUGUGGUGUAAUAGAGAGGUGGUGACCUCAGACUAUGGCUACCGCUGGAUACCGUGCUCCAGCAGAUCGGAGUGGAGACACUUCAUUGUGCCUACUACUCGGACCUGCAGCUACACGUCUCAAUACUUUUGUGGGAUCUGUAUGAAUACUUUGAAAUCAGUAACCAUUCCACUCUUUGUUUGUUUUAUUUUUAGUUUAUUUAUUAUUUUUCUUUCUUUUCUUUAGUAUUUAUUAUUUUUCUUUCUAUUCUUUUAUUCAGUAUUUAUAAUUUUUUCCUUUUAUUUUUAUUUUUCUCUUUAAAUUUCUUUCUUUUGCUCAGUUUACAUUAAUACGCUUAUUUACUACCUUUUUUAUCACAUGAUACAUUGCCAUGGUGACCGGGACGCUAGACGAACUGACAGUGUGGAAACGAGGCCUGGAAUACUGCGCGCGUGCGUAAUAGGGCACGCAGGUUCUGAGAAUGAGAGCGAGGCUUGGAACGCCAUGAGCAUGCGCAGUAGGGCCGAUACGCUGCGUCCACACACGGUCACCAUGACUACAUGUUAUAUACAUCCUCUGACUUCCGUUACAGGAUCUGGGCGCACAUGCGCAGUUACAUUUUACCCACGCUUACAUUCUCCAUCAUUGCGGUGAGUGAUUUUCCCCAUACCUGUUGCUGCAAAUAUUAGUUUUUAAUGAUUUUAUUUAUACUGCACAUCUGUUCUGAGUAGGUGAUCAGAACCUUAUUAGGGAUUUUAUAUGAUUUUGGGACACACAUUUGUAUUUAUGUACUGUAUCUUAUAUAGAUGUGACACAUGUUUUGCACUUGUUUAUGAGAUGCACUUUUUGAAUUUUUUACACCAUGUAUUCAUUAUAUAUAUAUUUUUUCACUAAUUGAGAUUGUAAUUGUAUGGCCCAUAAAAUGGGACCUUUUGUUCACUUGUGUUAUGCUUGAGAAAGACCAGGAGAGCUGGUUGAAAUGUCGCUGUAA